GGAUAACAUAGGGAAACUUAUGCUAAUACCGGAUAGGUUUUUGGAUCGCAUGAUCUGAAAAGAAAAGAUGGCUUUUCGCUAUCACUGGGAGAUGGGCCUGCGGCGCAUUAGCUAGUUGGUGGGGUAACGGCCUACCAAGGCGACGAUGCGUAGCCGACCUGAGAGGGUGACCGGCCACACUGGGACUGAGACACGGUCCAGACUCCUACGGGAGGCAGCAGUAGGGAAUUUUCCACAAUGGACGAAAGUCUGAUGGAGCAACGCCGCGUGAACGAUGAAGGUCUUCGGAUUGUAAAGUUCUGUUGUCAGGGACGAACACGUACCGUUCGAAC
rnacentral:rRNA from 1 species